rnacentral:rRNA from 1 species
UUCUGUUAUUGUAGUAAACUUAAGAUAUCAGAUCCCAUCUGAUCUUGGAGGCUAAGCAGGUCAGCUCUGGUUAAUACUUGGAUGGGAGACUGAAUGAGUAACAGGCAUUGUUGGCU